AACGCAUCUUGCGCUCUCGGGUAGCCCUGGGAGCAUGCUUCUUUGAGUCUCGUCUCAACCCAAACUCAGCUGCGUGCUUUCGCGAGCACGUUAGUCUGGAAAAUGAGAGUCACUGCUUGCGAGCACUGUCUCUUUAAAUACAUUCCGCUUCAAGUCAAACUAGUUGAACGGCCAGAUAGGUCGUGCCUUCAUACCAAACUAGUGUGAUGGAUGAUAAUAUGACCUUCGUGUCAUUUACAAUAUCUCCCAUCAUUCACUGGGAAGGCUGUCGAUCAGGUCAGGCUCCAGGUGUUUCACCUGUAGGCUAGCGUGAUUUGCUACAGCGUAUUCAAAGGAAAUUAUUUUGAAAUUCUGAGCUCAGAUGAAGCAAGAUUACCCGCCGAAUUUAA
rnacentral:misc_RNA from 1 species